GCUGAAGGCAUCUAAGCGUGAAGCCCCCCUCAAGAUGAGAUAUCCCAUCGUAAGAGUAAGACCCCUUGAAGACGACGAGGUUGAUAGGGCAGGGGUGGAAGUGCUGUAAGGCAUGGAGCUGACUGCUACUAAUCGGUCGAGGGCUUGACCAAAA
rnacentral:rRNA from 1 species